AGACUCCUACGGGAGGCAGCAGUAGGGAAUCUUCCGCAAUGGACGAAAGUCUGACGGAGCAACGCCGCGUGAGUGAUGAAGGUUUUCGGAUCGUAAAACUCUGUUGUUAGGGAAGAACAAGUACGAGAGUAACUGCUCGUACCUUGACGGUACCUAACCAGAAGCCACGGCUAACUACGUGCCAGCAGCCGCGGUAAUACGUAGGUGGCAAGCGUUGUCCGGAAUUAUUGGGCGUAAAGCGCGCGCAGGCGGUCCUUUAAGUCUGAUGUGAAAGCCCACGGCUCAACCGUGGAGGGUCAUUGGAAACUGGGGGACUUGAGUGCAGGAGAGAAGAGUGGAAUUCCACGUGUAGCGGUGAAAUGCGUAGAGAUGUGGAGGAACACCAGUGGCGAAGGCGACUCUUUGGCCUGUAACUGACGCUGAGGCGCGAAAGCGUGGGGAGCAAACAGGAUUAGAUACCCUGGUAGUCCACGCCGUAAACGAUGAGUGCUAAGUGUUAGAGGGUUUCCGCCCUUUAGUGCUGCAGUAAACGCAUAA
rnacentral:rRNA from 1 species